ACGACCACAUUACGUUGAUAUAUCGGCUCCCGUACGAUCUCCGAAGUUAAGCAACGUCGAUCCUGGUCAAUAGCUAGAUGGAUGAACGCUUGGGAAUAACAUAUGCUGUAAG
rnacentral:rRNA from 1 species